GCUUCCGUUCUCUCAGAUUAGUCGCCGAAGCUUCAGCGUUCAAGCAAGCUCGGCAUCUCACCCAUUUAAAGUUUGAGAAUAGGUUGAGGAUGUUUCGUCCCCAAGGCCUCUAAUCAUUCACUUUACCGGAUGAAAUU